rfam:Bacillus sp. SJS contig_31, whole genome shotgun sequence.
UAAAAAAAAACCCCGCAGUAAAACCGCAGGGUCCCUCUAAACCAAAAGGCUAGAAGGAAAAGGGAGAGGAGAAACCGGAGGAAGAACUUAUGGGGAAACGUAAGUCUUCUCCGCGG